UGAGAAAAAUAAAAUAAAUGGUGGAGUAUGAAUUUUAAAACUCACUGGGAGGAUGUUUGAGUCAUCGUCUGCGAUUCAUACGCUACAUUAGACCAUCAAGCUCCAAACCUAAGUAUACAAGCAGACUCACAAGAUCAUUAAUUACGCCAAUAAAUUAAUUUAAAAAAAGAUUUCAAAAAGCAAUUGAUAAUAAAAGAAACAAAUAUCACCUAAAUAGAAGAUAAUUAAUUAAAAAAACAGUUGAUGAGAACAAUUGACCGAGAAUAAUCCCAUGUGAAUAUCAAUUAAUUGGAAUUUAAAAAAAAGGGGGAUAUAAAUGAUAAGAAAUUAAUUUUUAUAAAUAAACGAAGAGUAAAUUCAUCAUAUAAAAAACAAAUGAAUUGUUUUCUCACAGAAUUAGUAUCUUUAACAUACGUCAGUCUUUCGAUAACGAUAAUAAAUCAAUUUUAAUCUAAAAAAUGAAAGACAAACGACGUAUUUAAUUGGCACAUAUUUUUUUCAAGUUACACUCCGCUAGUUUUGAUUUAACUUUCGAUUAAGAUUAGUCAUAACUGGAAAUUAAAAUGGAAAAACGAAAAAGUAUGAGAAACCAGAUAUAUGGAUACUUGUACAUGGUAUGGAGGUACUUAUAAGAAAAUGUUGCACACUGAGACAUGAGAGUCAAGUGGACUUUUACUUUCACUAUUAAAGGAAACAUGGCAAACCGUUAUGCCACGGUUUUGUCAAAAAUUCUAGAAUAUUUUGUGGAUAUACGGGAUAAUGUGAAACUCUUGUCAAGUUUUAUCUAAAGGUAUGUGUACAUUUAAAAAUCGUCAAUCAACAGCACAAGUUGAAAAGAAUUCGGACAAAUUUCCUGCAGUGAAUGAGUCAUAGAAAAUCAUUUUCCUCUAAAGAGUUUUGAGUGACACGAGUUGAACAAAGAAUUUUCAAUGCGUCAUGAGGAAUUAGAUAUGAUAUAAUUAUAUCAGAAAAGACCAUUUCUAUGUAGUAAUUUAUAUGAA
rnacentral:lncRNA from 1 species